GCCGGCAUAGUUUAAUGGCAGAACGCAGCCAUGGUAAGGCUGAAAUGCGAGUUCGAUUCUCGCUGCCGGCU
rnacentral:tRNA from 3 species